UACGGAGGGGGCGAGCGUUAUUCGGAAUUAUUGGGCGUAAAGGGCGCGUAGGCGGCUUGAUGUGUCAAAGGUGAAAUCCCUCGGCUCAACUGAGGAACUGCCUUUGAAACUGUCUGGCUUGAGGCCGGGAGAGGGUAGCGGAAUUCCCAGUGUAGCGGUGAAAUGCGUAGAUACUGGGAGGAACACCCGUGGCGAAGGCGGCUCCCUGGUCCGUCCCUGACGCUGAGACGCGAAAGCGCGGGGAGCGAACGGG
rnacentral:rRNA from 1 species